UACGUAGGGUCCGAGCGUUGUCCGGAGUUACUGGGCGUAAAGCGUGCGUAGGCGGUUGUCUAAGUUUGGUGUGAAAUCUCCUGCUUAACUGGGAGGGUGCGCCGAAAACUGGGUGACUGGAGUGUCGGAGAGGUAAGCGGAAUUCCUGGUGUAGCGGUGAAAUGCGUAGAGAUCAGGAGGAACACCUGUGGUGUAGACAGCUUACUGGACGAUAACUGACGCUGAGGCACGAAAGCGUGGGUAGCAAACAGG
rnacentral:rRNA from 1 species